rnacentral:rRNA from 1 species
AGUGAACGCUGGCGGUAGGCCUAACACAUGCAAGUCGAACGGCAGCACAGUAAGAGCUUGCUCUUACGGGUGGCGAGUGGCGGACGGGUGAGGAAUACAUCGGAAUCUACUUUUUCGUGGGGGAUAAUGUAGGGAAACUUACGCUAAUACCGCAUACGACCUACGGGUGAAAGCAGGGGAUCUUCGGACCUUGCGCGAUUGAAUGAGCCGAUGUCGGAUUAGCUAGUUGGCGGGGUAAAGGCCCACCAAGGCGACGAUCCGUAGCUGGUCUGAGAGGAUGAUCAGCCACACUGGAACUGAGACACGGUCCAGACUCCUACGGGAGGCGGCAGUGGGGAAUAUUGGACAAUGGGCGCAAGCCUGAUCCAGCCAUACCGCGUGGGUGAAGAGGGCCUUCGGGUUGUAAAGCCCUUUUGUUGGGAAAGAAAAGCAGCAGGUUAAUACCCCGCUGUUCUGACGGUACCCAAAGAAUAAGCACCGGCUAACUUCGUG